CGUGGCGGCGCCUGUGCAGGGGUCACCGCUGAUGUUCCAUGCCGACGCCGCCGUCUGGCCGAGCUUGGCGAACACCGCGUUCACCGCCGCCGCUGCAACGAUAUCGAAUUGAAACCGUGAUCAGAUUCACAUGUGACGGCGAAAAGGUAAGUCUACUACACCACCUAGCUUGGCCGUCUUUUAAUUUCUUCCAGGAGGAGGAACGUAUAAUUUUCAAGCGAAUGAGGAUGAAACAUCCUCACGUGAAAGCAGUUUAUACUUUCAUAGGAGUACAUGAGAUGGAACCUACAAUCCCCUAGGAAAGCUGAUCGAUCAGGAACGAACAGCUCAUGGAAAGCUCUUUUUUAAGAUAAAGGAAUGAUAUCCGGCCUUAACAUUCACAAGUGAAUAACAUUCAUGGAAAGCUCUUAUGUUUCAGGAAUAGGAAACGAGGUGGGCAUACCUUCAGUUGGAUCUGUCCUUGUUCUUGGUGCCGCUCGUCGAGCUCCGGCAGAUGCAACUAGAAGAAUCUGCAGCACGGAGAACACGAAACCUUGUAGACAAGAACUCGAUUUCAACCUCAUCUCCC
rnacentral:lncRNA from 1 species